CAGUAGCCACGGUAAUACGAAGGGUGCAAGCGUUAAUCGGAAUUACUGGGCGUAAAGCGCGCGUAGGUGGUUUGGUAAGAUGGAUGUGAAAUCCCCGGGCUCAACCUGGGAACUGCAUCCAUAACUGCCUGACUAGAGUACGGUAGAGGGUGGUGGAAUUUCCUGUGUAGCGGUGAAAUGCGUAGAUAUAGGAAGGAACACCAGUGGCGAAGGCGACCACCUGGACUGAUACUGACACUGAGGUGCGAAAGCGUGGGGAGCAAACAGGAUUAGAUACCCCCGUAGUCCCUGUCUCUUAUAC
rnacentral:rRNA from 1 species